CGCAAGCCUGACGGAGCUACACCGCGUGAGGGAAGACGGCCUUUGGGCUGUAAACCUCUUUUCUCAGGGAAGAAGGUCUGACGGUACCUGAGGAAUCAGCCUCGGCUAACUCCGUGCCAGCAGCCGCGGUAAUACGGAGGAGGCAAGCGUUAUCCGGAAUUAUUGGGCGUAAAGCGUCCGCAGGGGGUCUUCCAAGUCUGCUGUCAAAGCCCGGGGCUCAACCCCGACGCGGCAGUGGAAACUGGGAGGCUAGAGUACGGCAGGGGUAGAGGGAAUUCCCAGUGUAGCGGUGAAAUGCGUAGAUAUUGGGAAGAACACCGGUGGCGAAAGCGCUCUACUGGGUCGCGCCUGACCCUCAGGGACGAAAGCUAGGGGAGCG
rnacentral:rRNA from 1 species